GCUCUGAUAGCUUAAUAUAAAGUAUUGGUCUUGUAAACCAAAGAUUGUGGACUAAUACCCACUCAAAGCU
rnacentral:tRNA from 1 species